UAGUGACAAGAAAUAACAAUACAGGACUUUUUGGUUUUGUAAUUGGAAUGAGUUAAGUAUAAACCCCUUUACAAGUAUCAAUUGGAGGGCAAGUCUGGUGCCAGCAGCCGCGGUAAUUCCAGCUCCAAUAGCGUAUAUUAAAGUUGUUGCAGUUAAAAAGCUCGUAGUUGGAUUUCUGUUAAUAAUUUAUAUAUAAUAUUUUAAUUAAUAUUUAUAUAAUAUUAACAUAAUUCAUAUUACUAUAUUAUUUUUAGUAUAUGAAAUUUUACUUUGAGAAAAUUAGAGUGCUUAAAGCAG
rnacentral:rRNA from 1 species